AACGAACGCUGGCGGCAUGCCUAACACAUGCAAGUCGAACGAGACCUUCGGGUCUAGUGGCGCACGGGUGCGUAACGCGUGGGAACCUGCCCUUAGGUUCGGAAUAACUCCCCGAAAGGGGUGCUAAUACCGGAUAAUGCCUUCGGACCAAAGAUUUAUCGCCUUUGGAUGGGCCCGCGUUGGAUUAGCUAGUUGGUAGGGUAAAAGCCUACCAAGGCGACGAUCCAUAGCUGGUCUGAGAGGAUGAUCAGCCACACUGGGACUGAGACACGGCCCAGACUCCUACGGGAGGCAGCAGUGGGGAAUAUUGGACACUGGGCGAAAGCCUGAUCCAGCAAUGCCGCGUGAGUGAUGAAGGCCUUAGGGUUGUAAAGCUCUUUUACCCGGGAUGAUAAUGACAGUACCGGGAGAAUAAGCUCCGGCUAACUCCGUG
rnacentral:rRNA from 1 species